CCCCCCACUAGGGAUCUACAUCCAAGUCGGCCUACAUACGGCUUACUUAGCUUACUAGCUAUGCGUAGUACAUUUAAUUUAAACUGCACUAUAAUGAAAAGUUCCACAGCUAUUCCACUCCUUUAGAUAGCGCACAUAAAUGCCGGUGCUCCCAGCACAAAGGCUUCCCCAUUUCACGUGCUCCACAUUUUCCGAUGGCAAUCGAUCUUCAUUGGGACAUGGCGCUGUUAUUUGUUAUUACAAGAAGCUUCCAACAGGAACGUGAACGAUAUUAACUGCAAAUCCACGUGCAAGUCACCAUCCAGCAAGUUGGAGAAUGGAUUUAAAAACACACUCAUCGUCGUGCAUGAACAACUUCGCUGAAAAUCAGGUCUGUCCAGCGAGUCCAGGUGUAGCCCUGUCUCCACAUUCGAAGGGGAGAACCAGCUUUCGUCCUUGUGAAUCGGAGAUCUAUGAUGCAGAUUAGCAGUCAUCCCAGCCUCUGCAACCAAAGUGAAAUGAUUUUUUAAAAGGCUGAUAAUGGUCAGGCUGGAAUUAGGCACGGCUACGCAAGCUGACCGGAGCGUCGGAAGGAGGUUCAGACAACGAGACAACAUCAAGAGCCCUCCUGCCAUUAACGGGCAACCGACCAGAUCUGAGGGAGGACUGUAAAUAAGACUGUGAUUAGGAUGGGGGCUGUGGUUAGGAUGUGGCUCUGACCUCGCACACCGUCAAUCACGCUGUACAAAUGAUCAGCAGGCGCUGAGAUGCCUCUGAAGCAGGUGCCAGGGUCCUGUCUGUCAGGGCUGUGGCCAGCCUUCUGAUGGAUGGUGAGGUAAUAAAGACAGGUCUCUGCUCCGUGUGCCUGUAACUAAAGGCAGGGGUGACUGACUGUGUGAGGAGGUUCCUGAUGUGGGGAGGUUUCGGUCGGGGGUCACCGCCAGUCGACAGGACAAAUGUGUUCAUCACACGGGUCAGUUCUGACAUUGUGCGCGCUCUUGGAGCAUUUACGUCUCACUUCACUAAUUGAAAAAAAAAUAGCCAAUUUCCAAUUGCUGCAGAAAAGGUAAAAUACUCACUCAGAUCCAUAUCUGUUUGAUUGUGUGAAGGGUUGGGAUGAUGUGGUUGUCAGCGUAUGGUGUUUCAGUGUGUUUUUUUGUUUUCAAAUACUGGAGGAAAUCAUAAAAAAUAUAUAUUUUUGUCUAAACUUUCACUUAAAAAAUGUAUUGCUUUAUUGAUCAGAACAUGGGUUGAACUAGCGGUUCCCAAUCAAUAUGACAGCUAGGAGCAUUUUGUUUUCACGUAGGUAGGUGUGUACUGUUACUCAUAGCAACCAAUACAUUUCAUAUAAUAGAAUUAUCAUAUUUUGGCAUAAUGUAUGAUACAAAACAUUCAGUUGAGUAUAAUUAUUUUUACUCAGUUGA